CUAUGCUCAUUACUGGGAGGAAGCCUUAAAAGAGAGGGCUGUUAGUGAGGUAUCCUGAUGUUUAGUUAGAGCCGGACAGGCUUAGAGUUUGUUUUGUUUGCAAGGUGCUCUGUGCCUACAUCAUUUAAAUAAACACUCUUGAGUUUUGAAA